UACAGAGGUGGCAAGCGUUGCUCGGAAUUACUGGGCGUAAAGGGCGCGUAGGCGGAUAGUUUAGUCAGAGGUGAAAGCCCAGGGCUCAACCUUGGAACUGCCUUUGAUACUGGCUAUCUUGAGUUCGGGAGAGGUGAGUGGAAUGCCGAGUGUAGAGGUGAAAUUCGUAGAUAUUCGGCGGAACACCAGUGGCGAAGGCGACUCACUGGCCCGAUACUGACGCUGAGGCGCGAAAGCGUGGGGAGCAAACAGG
rnacentral:rRNA from 1 species